AGAGCAAACACUUUACCACCGGUUCUAACCUUCUUCGGUUGUGUACACUGUGAACUGAUACGGCCCUCCUCAUUGCAGUUAUAGCAAAUUAUGUCUCCCCGCUUACAAUCAACUAAUGUGUGUCCCUUCUGUCCACACCUGAAGCACUUCUUCUCACCUUUAGUACAAACAUUACUCUUGUGGCCUUUCUCACCACACUUGUAGCAAACAAUCUCAGCAGAAGCAUCUCUCCUCUUGGGCCUCCUCUCAUCAUUCAGCCUCUGUUUUCCUUUGUCAGCAGGGGCACUAUACGGUUUAGGACGACUCUACUGUCCCUUGCCUUUACGCUCACUCAUCACCUUGUAAUGAGCUUUCCUAUCUUCCUCAUAUAUUCUGCAGCUACUCACCAACUCGGAGAAAUUUCUUAUCUUCUGAUAGCCAAUGGAGAACUCAGCUGUCUCCGCGGUAUA
rnacentral:lncRNA from 1 species